rnacentral:rRNA from 1 species
CAUUGAGCCUUGAUGUGUAGGAUAGGUGGGAGGCAAUGAAGUGUGGACGCCAGUCUGCACGGAGCCAUCCUUGAAAUACCACCCUUUAACGUUUGAUGUUCUAACCCGGGUCCAUAAUCUGGAUCGGGGACCGUGUCUGGUGGGUAGUUUGACUGGGGCGGUCUCCUCCCAAAGAGUAACGGAGGAGCACGAAGGUUGGCUAAGCAUGGUCGGACAUCAUGCGGUUAGUGCAAAGGCAUAAGCCAGCUUGACUGCGAGAGUGACGGCUCGAGCAGGUACGAAAGUAGGUCUUAGUGAUCCGGUGGUUCUGAAUGGAAGGGCCAUCGCUCAACGGAUAAAAGGUACUCCGGGGAUAACAGGCUGAUACCGCCCAAGAGUUCAUAUCGACGGCGGUGUUUGGCACCUCGAUGUCGGCUCAUCACAUCCUGGGGCUGAAGUAGGUCCCAAGGGUAUGGCUGUUCGCCAUUUAAAGUGGUACGCGAGCUGGGUUUAGAACGUCGUGAGACAGUUCGGUCCCUAUCUGCCGUGGGCGCUGGAAGAUUGAGAGGGGUUGCUCCUAGUACGAGAGGACCGGAGUGAACGCACCACUGGUGUACGGGUUGUGAUGCCAAUUGCAUUGCCCGGUAGCUAAGUGCGGAAGAGAUAACCGCUGAAAGCAUCUAAGCGGGAAACUUGCCUCGAGAUGAGUCUUCCCUGACCCUUUAAGGGUCCUGAAGGAACGUUUGAGACUAAGACGUUGAUAGGCUGGGUGUGUAAGCGCAGCGAUGCGUUGAG